UCGGAGCUUCCACCAUGAAGCCUCUUCUUACCUCGCACUUUGACCCGCGCCCCACCUCCCCCCUCCGAGUCUCACUCGCUUCCUCCCUCCCUUCUUCUGCACCAGCCGGUGGGUGAGCAGAUUUCACUGAGCAUGCUGUGUGGAGGACAAGUCACACCGGCCCGUCUCUUCCUCGGCUUUCGUCUGUCCUUGCCUACCCUCUCGUUCAUCUGAACACUUUUUAAGGUUCUUACUCUGAUCCAUGUGGGCCGUUUUUUCCCCCCCUCCCUUCAAUCAGAUGUGUGCUUCUUUUCAAUCUGUCCACCCCUGAGUGGAGGAACGGACACGCCAAGGUGGACGCAUGGACGGGAGUCUGGGCUACACCGAUGUUUGAGACCACGGUCGGCGGACAAAAUCUCAUCCACUCAUUCGACACCUUCUGAAGCCCCAACUGGCCAGACACACGGGACCUUCACGACAUGCGACGCAGACAGAUCGACCCGCAGUCACUGCAGCUGUCAGUCAUGCUGUGACUGAAGGGAACUCCAGGAGUCCAGCUGAAGAGGCAAAGCACACGGAUCGUAUGAGGAGACGAGGGAUGCAUCCACGAGCGGAGCGGCGGACCACUGGACCAGGCCACUGUCGUUUCUUACCGGAGAGCGAGAGCGUGAGCAGCAGCUCCACACCGCCGCUCCUCCGCCGCGCGCUGGUGGACACGAGCGGAGCGGCGGACCACUGGACCAGGCCACUGUCGUUUCUUACCGGAGAGCGAGAGCAGCAGCAGCAGCAGCAGCAGCUCCACACCGCCGCUCCUCCGCCGCGCGGUGGAGGACACGAGCGGAGCGGCGGACCACUAGACCAGGCCACUGUCGUUUCUUACCGGAGAGCGAGAGCAGCAGCAGCAGCUCCACACCGCCGCACCUCCGCCGCGCGCUGGAGGACAUGUUCCCGCUCUGGGACUGGGGCUAGAGGCUUCCUACAAAGCGUCGGACCUGUAAAAAAUGCUCUUGAUGAAAAUAGCAAAAAUACCUGCUCUUUAUUGUUGCCUUAAAAUGCAAAAAAAGCCCCAGUAAACGUGUGUGUUAGAGGCAGAACAUGGCUGGCAGUGUCUGUAGCCAGGUGACGAUUGGUCUUAUGGUUGCACGGCACUGUCAGCUGCAGGCGGCGAGGCGGGAGUGGGAUGGCAGUCAAUAAAUAGAAGACGACUCGAACGAAGACACUGUGCGAGCACAGCACAAAUAUAGCUACAAUUUAAUGAGAACUGACCACUUGAGGUGAGUGUUUUUUUGUUUUGUUUUCCCUCUCGAUCUAUUUUUUUAAAUAGGUUUGCCUCAGUGUUCCCAAGGGUUUGACGUAAUAUCUGCGGAUUCAUCGUCAACUAAAUAAAAUAAUGAAGCAGUUAUACGAAAUACGAUCAAGCUUUCUGGUGGCAAGUGCUCUCCGAACUUGACAGUAGUCGUGUCGAUACUGUUGUUGCAAUGAGUCUAUGCUGUUUAGCUACAGACAUUGACCGCGUAACCACGGGCCACAAUGACGCGAGGAGAACGUCGCCAAACAUAAAGGGAGGAAGAGCCCGCUAAACACAAGAAUAACCAGGGCCAUCCCUCCCUCUCCUCUCUUCCUGCAUCCUUCCGCCCUGCCAUCCUCCCAUCCUUCCAUCUUCCCAUCCUUCCAUCC